AUUGACCGCUGGCGGCAGGCCUAACACAUGCAAGUCGAGCGAGCGUCGGACGGGUGAGUAAUGUAUGGGGACUGCCCGAUAGAGGGGGAUAACUACUGGAAACGGUGGCUAAUACCGCAUACUGUCGUAUAACCCAUAUGUGAUUAGCUAGUAGGUUUGGUAAUGGCUUACCGAGGCGACGAGCACUAGCUGGUAUGAGAGGAUGACCAGCCACACUGGAACUGAGACACGGCCCAGACUCCUACGGAGGCAGCAGUGGGGAAUAUUGCACAAUGGGCGAAAGCCUGAUGCAGCCAUGCCGCGUGUAUGAAGAAGGCCCUAGGGUUGUAAAGUACUUUCAGUGGGGAGGCGUUACCGGCAGAAGAAGCACCGGCUAACUCCGUGCCAGCAGCCGCGGUAAUAC
rnacentral:rRNA from 1 species